CUCUCUCUUAGGUCUUGCCGUUUCCCCUUUCUCUCUUUAUUUCUCAAACCUCUCCCUUACAAGCCAUCACCAUUCGCUCAGUUUAAAGCUUUAUCUCAGCUUGCUUUGCUCGCUCUUUGCCGAUUUCGGCGUAUUUUCAGGUAAUUUCCAUUAUUAGCAAGUAUGCAGCCAUGAAAUGCAACAAUGACUUUUGUUCAUGAGCUACAAUGCCACUUGGGUUGAUUACUUGAUGGACAAAGUAGUCUCUUAAUAGUUCUUUUAGCCUUUUCUUU